rnacentral:lncRNA from 1 species
CUUUUAAUUUGUAUAUAUAUUUCUAGUUGAUCAUAUAAAUUCAUUUAAAGCAUAAAAGACAAGUUAAAAGAGCAACGGGCGUAUCAUGCGCUAAAGCGCAGCCCUUUAUUCUACUGAAUGUCGAUCGUUCUAUAUGAUUAUGCUAAGUGUCUAAUGUAAAUAGAAGAGAGAUGUGCAUUUUCAUCGGAUUUUUUUUUGUCCAUACGAAUUUUAAAACUUUAAAUGGAAGUAAUAGAAAUUGUUUUUUUUCUAUUAAUUUUACAUAUAUGCGUACACGACAAACAACAACAUUUUUGGCUGCUUUGUCUUGCGAUGUAAAUAGGAAAUGAUUUCUGUGAGUAAUUUAUUUAUCAAGUUAUUGUCGAGACCGGCUUUUGUUGCAGAAAGCUCGACAUAGGGAUAUUUAUCCGGCGGCGGC